CCUACGGGUGGCAGCAGUGGGGAAUAUUGCACAAUGGGGGAAACCCUGAUGCAGCGACGCCGCGUGAGUGAAGAAGUCUUUCGGUAUGUAAAGCUCUAUCAGCAGGGAAGAAAAUGACGGUACCUGACUAAGAAGCCCCGGCUAACUACGUGCCAGCAGCCGCGGUAAUACGUAGGGGGCACGCGUUAUCCGGAUUUACUGGGUGGAAAGGGAGCGUAGCCGGCGAUGCAAGUCUGACGUGAAAGGCGGGGGCCCAACCUCCGGACUGCUUUGGAAACUGUAUGGUUGGAGUGCAGGAGAGGUAAGUGGAAUUCCUAGUGUAGCGGUGAAAUGCGUAGAUAUUAGGAGGAACACCAGUGGCGAAGGCGGCUUACUGGACUGUAACUGACGUUGAGGCUCGAAAGCGUGGGGAGCAAACAGGAUUAGAUACCCUUGUAGUC
rnacentral:rRNA from 1 species